AAUCCUUGAGAUACACCAGGCAGCACUCAGCGUAUACCCAGAAACUGGGGAAAAAAGGGGGGGCAAAAUUACAAGGUAUUUAUAUUUGCACAAAUCAGCAGUAAAGUCAGUGCUCUCUAAUUGUUGUGAAAAGGUAGCCAAUGCUUAGAUUAGAUCAGAGUUAAUUAGAACGAUUCACAUUUUCAAUUGCACAGCCAGCCAGCCAUCAAAACAACUUUCUAUAACUGUGUUUUAAAAAGCUACAAAAGAUUGAAACAAAGUUGAUGUCAAUGUCAAUUAUCAAUCAUGAAGAGCAUAAUUCUUCUGAUUCUAAAAAGCUAGACAUAUACAAACAGUUGUGUAGCACAGCCAAGCCGUACAUUGUAAUUGUUGAACAAAUGAUCUUAUUUUGAUUUGUAUAGCGUAGAACAACAACUUAUAUACGUAUGGAAUAUUAGUUAGUUUGCACAAUUACAGGCAGAAUGCAUUCUUCAAAAUUGAGGUACCAGUUUUCUUUAGUCACACUUACAUCAUGCUUCUGAUAACAAGAAAGUGACAAUGACAAAUGGAUUGAUUGAACAUCAACUAUUUUUCUAAUUUCAACUUUUGUGCGCAUGGUUGAAAAAGAUAAUAUGAUGUACAAACCUAAUUUCUCAAACACAAAAAAUUCAACAUAAAAAAAAAAUGCCUAUAGGCUAUAGUGGCCACAUCCUUGUAUAAAUUCUAAAAGGCAGAAUCGAACAUUUUCCUAGAGUGCCUAAAAGAAGAAUAAGAGUUGUGAAAAACGUCUUCUACAGUGGGGGUGCGCAGUUUUUUGUUAUAAUUGAAAAAUCGAACUGGAUCAAACCAAUUCAGUUUUUUCAGUUUAGUUUCUUGGUUUCGGCUCAGUUAUUAUUUUCAAGGAAUUCGGUUUGGUUAGUUCAAUUUGGAUAUUAAACCGUAUACUGGGUCUGAGGUACUUUUAUAUUUUAGUUCUUAAGCCCAUAAGUGUUUUUGACCUAUACCCUGUUUGGCCUUUCAUCCAUCUUUCCCCAUUUCUUUCUUAACCUUUCCAUUUAAGUCUCCAACUCGUCUUUCCUUCCUAGAGUGAGAGCACCGCUGUUGUUUCCAUCUUGGCAUCCACUGCAAAGCCGCUCAAUGUCUCCAUCUAUGCUAUGUCUCCAUUGCAAAACCGCUAGAACCCCGCUGCCUGAGCCUCUCUUGACAUCUAUGCUAGCAAAGUGUUUUUUGUUCUUGCUUUUCUUUUUCUUUGUAUGAUUCGAUUCAGUGUUGUCUGGUUGAAGUUUGAUUGUUAAAUUUUUCGAUUAAAUGUCGAAAGAGAGAUAGAACUUCUUAUUGGGAAAGAAGGGGAUGGGAUCUAUUGAAAUGAAAACCGACAAAUCGAACUGAACCAAAAUAUUUAGGUUCAAACCAUUAUAUUCUUUAUACAGUUUGGUUUAUAAGUUUAAGAAAUUUGGUUAGUCAAUUUUGGUUCAGUUUGGAACCAAAUCCAAUGAAUGAUCUGAACUAUUGCCAGCGCCAGUUUUGCUAGUGGAAGGGGUGGUGAGACUGAAUGUCCUUCACACGCAUGUUGUUUAGUUUAGUGGGUACUCUCGGGAAUAAGAAAAAAAGAAGGGAGAGGAUAAGAAAGAGAAGAGCUGGACCUCAAACCCAAGGCUUUGACACCACGUAAAAUUAGAAAAGAGAGAAGGAAGAUUGGGGUAAAUGAACUUUAUCAUUCACUCAAGCCGUUGGGGAUUAAAUACUGAUUACAAGAAAUCUAAAUAGGAAAAUAUAAUUAGAGGCACCAUUUAGGCAUGAAAUAAAUCUUCCUAAUUACAGUGUGAUUUCUUAAUCGUAGGUACAAUUAAAGUGAUUAUUUCAAUGGGAUUCAAAGUAGUGGGGAUGAAGAUUGAAAAAGAGCAACUAGAGAUUAAUACGAACACACUUAAGAGAAUGGAGAUAUGAGAUCCCUAUUGUGGCCCAGAUGGGUUGAGUUGUAAAGUUAGACAAGAUAAAUUUGCAUUUUUCUUGGCAUUUAUUUAUUCUUUUUUCAUCUAGCUUCUUUAAUGCAUAAAAGUCCUUUUACUUUAUCAAAAUCAUUAUUUUCUUGCUUCUUGUUUUUUCGGAUCAAUGCAACUGUGUUUCGCUUACUCUACCCUUCAAAAGACUGCAACAAUUCAGGUAUUGAA
rnacentral:misc_RNA from 1 species